rnacentral:rRNA from 1 species
GAUGAACGCUAGCGGCAGGCUUAACACAUGCAAGUCGAGGGGCAGCACGGGUAGCAAUACCUGGUGGCGACCGGCGCAAGGGUGCGUAACGCGUGAGCAACAUGCCCUAUACAGGGGGAUAAUCCAGGGAAACUUGGUCUAAUAUCCCAUAGCAUUUAGAGGAGGCAUCUUCACUAAAUUAAAGCUUCGGUGGUAUAGGAUUGGCUCGCGUGACAUUAGCUAGAUGGUGAGGUAACGGCCCACCAUGGCUAUGAUGUCUAGGGGUUCUGAGAGGAAGACCCCCCACACUGGGACUGAGACACGGCCCAGACUCCUACGGGAGGCAGCAGUGAGGAAUAUUGGACAAUGGAUGGAAAUCUGAUCCAGCCAUGCCGCGUGCAGGAAGACGGCCCUAUGGGUUGUAAACUGCUUUUCCAGGGAGAGAAACUUACGCACGUGUUGCGUGACUGACGGUACCCUGGGAAUAAGCAUCGGCUAACUCCGU